AGGACGAACGCUGGCGGCGUGCUUAACACAUGCAAGUCGAACGGAAAGGCCCGCUUGCGGGUACUCGAGUGGCGAACGGGUGAGUAACACGUGGGUAACCUGCCCUCAGCUUUGGGAUAACUCCCGGAAACGGAAGCUAAUACCGAAUACUGACCACCUACCGCAUGGCGGGUGGUUGAAAGUUUUUCGGCUGAGGAUGGGCCCGCGGCCUAUCAGCUUGUUGGUGGGGUGAAGGCCUACCAAGGCAACGACGGGUAG
rnacentral:rRNA from 1 species